GUAAUCUUUUCUUCCCUGAUUGACAGGCAGGGAUCCAAAUAUCAGUGCAUGGUGACACAUCGGGGAGGGUUGGUAACUAGUCUACUGACACCUAGUCUAACUUGGCACCUGAGUCUACUGGAAGAGACAUGGGUUAUUUGGGAAAGAGAGAGAAGAAACACUAGCAGCCUCAGGGGCUGUGACUUUACCCUGACCCAGGGCAAGCAAGUUCUGAUUGCUCAGUAUACUGACUGUAGGUUCCUGGGCAAAUUGCUUCAAGCCUCUGGUUUCAAUGAUUUCUGGUGUUGGGUUGUUGGGAGAAUUAAAUGAGGCCAUAUAGUGUUAGUGCUUCAGGAAAUUAUAGUUGUAGGGAGGACAUCACCAUAGGUAGGUAGUAAGUAGCUGAGCAUAGGACCUUGAUUUAC
rnacentral:lncRNA from 1 species